UCUCUAUAGCGUAAAAGUCAACUCAAAUUUGUAUGGAGUUGGAACAGGUGCCUCCGUUUGCCGCUAGGGGCGCUGUUCUAACUGCAUACAAAUUUGAUUUAGGUAACUUUUACGCUAUCGA
rnacentral:pre_miRNA from 9 species